UGGGGAAUUUUGGACAAUGGGGGAAACCCUGAUCCAGCCAUCCCGCGUGUGCGAUGAAGGCCUUCGGGUUGUAAAGCACUUUUGGCAGGAAAGAAACGUCGCGGGUUAAUACCCCGCGGAACUGACGGUACCUGCAGAAUAAGCACCGGCUAACUACGUGCCAGCAGCCGCGGUAAUACGUAGGGUGCAAGCGUUAAUCGGAAUUACUGGGCGUAAAGCGUGCGCAGGCGGUUCGGAAAGAAAGAUGUGAAAUCCCAGAGCUUAACUUUGGAACUGCAUUUUUAACUACCGGGCUAGAGUGUGUCAGAGGGAGGUGGAAUUCCGCGUGUAGCAGUGAAAUGCGUAGAUAUGCGGAGGAACACCGAUGGCGAAGGCAGCCUCCUGGGAUAACACUGACGCUCAUGCACGAAAGCGUGGGGAGCAAACAGGAUUAGAUACCCUGGUAGUCCACGCCCUAAACGAUGUCAACUAGCUGUUGGGGGUCUUCGGACCUUGGUAGCGCAGCUAACGCGUGAAGUUGACCGCCUGGGGAGUACGGUCGCAAGAUUAAAAACUCAAAUGAAUUGACGGGGGUCAUAGCUGGUUUUUCCCU
rnacentral:rRNA from 1 species